UGGGGGGGCAAGUUGAAGGAGGGAAGAUUUCGGUUGGAUGUUAGGGGGAAGUUCUAACCCUAAUGUCAUGGGACCCCAUGGCACCCAAUGGCACCUAUGGGAUGCUAUAGGAUCCAUCCUGUUGGGGAUACAGGGCACCCCAUGGCGGUGGGGGGCACCUAUGGGAUCCUAGAGCAGCCAUCCCCAGGCAGGACCCCCAUAGCACCCUAUGGCACCCAGUGCCCCCUAUGGGAUCCUAGAGCAUCCAUCUCUGCGGGAUACAGGGGGACCCCAUGGGAUACAGGGCACCCCAUGGCAGUGGGAGGGCACCCAUGGGAUCCUAGAGCACCCAUCCACAGUGGGGUUUGGGGACCCCAUGGCAGUGGGGGGCACCCAUGGGAUCCUAGAGCACCCAUCCCCGGGCAGGACCCCAUAGCACCCUAUGGCACCCAGUGCCCCCUAUGGGAUCCUAGAGCAUCCAUCCCAGUGGGAUACAGGGGACCCCAUGGGAUACAGGGGACCCCAUGGCACCCAGUGCCCCCUAUGGGAUCCUAGAGCAUCCAUCUCUGUGGGAUACAGGGGACCCCAUGGGAUACAGGGCACCCCAUGGCAGUGGGAGGCACCCAUGGGAUCCUAGAGCACCCAUCCACAGUGGGGUUUGGGGACCCCAUGGCAGUGGGGGUCACCUAUGGGAUCCUAUAGCAUCCAAUGCCCCCGUGAAGCUCUGCCCAGGGAGGUUGUGGAUGCCCCGUCCUUGGUUCAAGGCCAGGUUGGACGGGGUCCUGGGCAACCUGAUCUGAAUGUGGAUGUUUGGUGGCCCUGCCAGGCAGGGGGGUUGGAACUCCAUGAUCCUUGGGGUCCCUUCCAACCCGGCUGAUUCUGUGAUCUGUGAUUCUGUGAUAGGGACAUGUAGGGAGACAUAGGGACAUACAGAGACACAUAGGGACACAUAGGGACAGAUAGGGAGACAUAGGGACAUACAGAGACAUAUAGGGACACAUAGGGACAUGUAGGGACAGAUAGAGACAUACAGUGACACAUAGGGACAGAUAGGGACACGUAGAGACACAUGGGGACACUUAGGGACAUACAGGGACACAUUGGGACGUAUAGAGACACGUAGGGACACAUAGGGACAGGUAGGGAGACAUAGGGACAUACAGAGAUAUAGGGACACAUAGGGACAUACAGAGACACAUAGGGACACAUAGGGACAGAUAGGGAGACAUAGGGACAUACAGAGAUAUAGGGACACGUAGGGACACGUAGGGACAGAUAGGGACAUACAGUGACGCAUAGGGACAGAUAGGGACACAUAGAGACACAUGGGGACACUUAGGGACAUACAGGGACACAUUGGGACAUAUAGAGACACGUAGGGACACAUUAGGGACAGGUAGGGACACAUAGGGACACAUAGAUCUGAAUGUGGAUGUUUUGUGGCCCUGCCAGGCAGGGGGGUUGGAACUGCAUGAUCCUUGGGGUCCCUUCCAACACGGUGAUUCUGUGAUUCUGUGGGGGGACGUGUGACCCUAUAGAGGUUAUAUGGUCAGAGGGGGGGACGUGUGACCCUAUAGAGGUUAUAAGAUCAUAGGGGGGGAUGUGUGACCCCUAUAGAGGUUAUAUGGCCAUAGGAGGGGAUGUGUGACCCUAUAGAGGUUAUAUGGCCAUAGGAGGGGAUGUGUGACCCUAUAGAGGUUAUAUGGCCAUAGGAGGGGAUGUGUGACCCUAUAGAGGUUAUAUGGUCACAGGGGGGGAUGUGUGACCCUAUAGAGGUUAUAUGGUCACAGAGGGGGAUGUGUGACCCUAUGGAGGAUGCAUGGUCAUAGGGGGAGGAUGUGUGACCCUAUAGAGGUUAUAUGGUCCCAUGGGGGGAUGUGUGUCCCUAUGGAGGUUAUAUGGUCACAGGGGGGGAUGUGUGACCCUACAGAGGUUAUAUGGUCACAGGGGGUGAUGUGUGACCCCUAUAGAGGUUAUAUGGUCCCAUGGGGUGAUGUGUGACCCUAUAGAGGUUAUAUGGUCCCAUGGGGUGAUGUGUGACCCUAUGGAGGAUGCAUGGUCAUAGGGGAGGAUGUGUGACCCUAUAGAGGUUAUAUGGCCAUAGGAGGGGAUGUGUGACCCUAUAGAGGUUAUAUGGUCACAGGGGGGGAUGUGUGACCCUACAGAGGUUAUAUGGUCACAGGGGGGGAUGUGUGACCCUAUAGAGGUUAUAUGGCCAUAGGAGGGGAUGUGUGACCCUAUAGAGGUUAUAUGGCCAUAGGAGGGGAUGUGUGACCCUAUAGAGGUUAUAUGGCCAUAGGAGGGGAUGUGUGACCCUAUAGAGGUUACAUGGUCACAGGGGGGGAUUCUGUGAUUCUGUGCAGUUGCCUCCAUCCCCCUUUGAUUUGGGGGGGGUUGGAUUUCCCCGCUGUAGGAUUUCCC